rnacentral:rRNA from 1 species
CGUGCUUAACACAUGCAAGUCGAACGGGGGUGCAAACCCUAGUGGCGGACGGGUGAGUAACGCGUGAGAACCUGUCUCGAGGUGGGGGACAACAGUUGGAAACGACUGCUAAUACCCCAUAUGCCGAGAGGUGAAAGAUUUAUCGCCUUGAG